UUAACGAGGAUAUCCAGACGACUUAGAAGAAGUAGGACCGGGAGAGGACCAGGACUGCUCCGCUUUAGAAGGUUCCGGAAAACCCCGCCCCCUUCUCUGACGUCACAUUCCCCCGGUGCGGGAGUUUUAAAUCUCUUCAGAAGAGCGAUCAGCUGCAGUCUGCUCAGCAGUGAGAAAAGAAGACGAAUCAUCGUCAAAGAGAAGAAAAACAAAGACGAGAGACGUACAAAGAUGAUCCACCAGUGCUGCCCAGUUUGAGGACAUUUCCAGUCACAUUAAUGGGGGACAGGAGACGCAGCUCCCAUCAAAGCUGAGUUUCUACCAGAGCCAAAUGUCAUCGACUCCUCACUGAAGUCGUCCACCAGUCCAACCACUGGAAUCCAGCUGCUGCUCUCUAACUGGUCCACACAGCAGCUCAGACCUGACACAUUCACUGUAAACACACUGGUUUAUAUUCUGUUUGUUCUCCUCAUGAAGGAAACCUCACACAACCACUGAGGGCAGAAAGUUCAAAUGGAGAGUUUUUGUUAUUUUUUUCUUUUAUAAAGAAGCUCAAGAAAACAGGCCUUUCAGAAUAAAAGCAUUACCAAGACAACAUUUAUACAUAAACAAUAAUAAAUGUUAUGUAACUAAAAAGUAGAUGUAAUCCAUGUUUCCAUGUCUUCAGUAACUUUGCUGUUAUUUAUUUGUUAUUUCUAAGUGUGCUGUCGUCUCCACAGCAGUGAUCUGGUUUCUCUGCAGGUUCAAUAAACUUUGGUCUCACUUGA